AAAGUUAAUGAAAAACUACUUGCAGUUUAUACGACCAGAAGCACUCAAAGGAAUCGUGCCACCAGAUAGGCUGCUGCUCAGGUGGCAGAGCGGGUCGUCUAGUCAUUGGAGGGUUGCUCGUUCGAUUCCAGGCUCCCCAAGUCUGGUCGAAGUCUACUCGGGCAAGAACGCCAAACUGCUUCAGAUGGCUGUGUCAGUCAGUGUUUGUGUGUCAUUAUGAGCGCUUUGACGCACGUUGGCACCAAGUGAGUAGCAUUUAUCAUUCACCAUCAGAUAGAAGUAAUUUGGCACGUGCAAAGUUUGGGAACUGCACGACAAGGAUUAGAUCAUCUUCAACUUUGUCAAAACUACUUGGUUAGGCUUUGGAAAAGAUCACGGUUUAGGUUAAAAUAAGUAAGUUUCAUUAGUGAUGUAACUUAAUAUGAGUAAACGUUGACUUUUGGUUUCACACAGGACAUGAAUAGUGGUCUCCUGAGGGAAAGUCCUGUGCUGUUCAACCCAUCUGUGAGGCCACCCCUGAGAACAGCAGUCUGCAUCAACCUGUGCACUUUUAUUUUAAUUCACUGCGUGCUGCAAUAGUAUCGUAAAGCCAGUGUCAGCCCAUAAGUUUCGUUCUAUUCAUUGUGCUCAGGGAAAACUUAUAUACGGCCAUUUAUAGCAUAAAAAGGUUAUAAACUUUAAUUUGGCAGAAUACAGCCUAUUCCUGAGGGUGCUCCUCGAAGAAAGCAGCAGCACAGCAGUAAGCGAUAAAGCCCAAAUUGCUACACAGACCAGAACCCAGCAGACACAUCAGAGGACACACAAAAUGAACCCAGUUCUUAUUUACAGCAGCAGGCUGAGAGGGGAGCUGUCCCAGGAGCAAGGUUCACCAACGUAUUUACACCAGAGAGCUGCUCGACACUGGCUGCCUACUGUCAGCCACCGGAGCCGCCGGGGGAAACAGUGAAGUAUGUGCUUGGCUCAAGUUCACCUCAAUUCGAAGAAGAGAGGUUGUGUGUCACUCUCCUUUAGUGCUACAGAAACACAAAGGAACAAACCUGGAGUUAAGGCGUCCUGUCCUAGAGACAUCAGGGUGAUAAAAACUGAAUUACUGGAUGGAUAAAUAAACAGCAAACAAUAUGGGAUGCACAUCCACCAACGUGGAGAAACUGCUAACUCAGCGGAUCCAGUGUGAAAGUCAUUUUUCAUUGAGGAUGAUGAACAGGUGGAAUUACAGUAGGAAAAUUGGAUUCAACUCGACGAGACUUUCUGCAGGUGAGUAUAAAACUCUCCUCUGAGUGAUGUGAUCUGGGUAACAUUAAGCCUUUAAUUUAAACACCACGAAAAGAUGAGGGUGAAACAUAACAGCUCAGGUGCCUCCGUGAGGGAUACUCCUGAGACCUAGUAGAGAAAAUAGUUUAUACACAAGUGACACCAAGGCAUAGUAUAACAAGAAGAAUCAGUGCUAAAGCUGAUCAAUUAUCCGUCAAUGUACUGACAAAGCUGGGCUCAAUCAGCUUUUUCAAUAUGUCUUGGACUCUCUGAAUCAGAAUGAGCUUUGACAAGUAAUAUUUUACAGGUAAGAGGAAUUUUCUUUGGUGAUAUGGUGCUACACGUAGACAAACAUAUAGUGGACAUAAAUAAAUGAAGAAAAUGUGAAAUAAACCGAUGCAAGUUGUAUAAGAAUAAUGAAAGAAUGGAGAAAAAAUGACGUAAUAUAAGAGUAAAACUAGAUACCGCUGGAUGUCAUGGAUGAUUAUAACUUGACACACACACAGCCACGUGUGUCAUAAGCUAAAAUAAUUAAAGCAUCAGUAGAUACAGAGCUUCCCACUGAUGUAAUGAAAAAACAUCUAUAGGCCAACAAUGGCAUCGUCACUGUGGCAGCGAAGGGUGAGUCACCAUGUAAAAUAUAUGACACUGCACUUAUUGAAGCCUAUAGAUGCUGUUCAUACACAGAUAUGCAUGCAGCUAAAAAUCCACAAGGACAAACACUUUACACACUUUCACUCUCUGAGGAAAACUCUCCCUCUCUCUCUCGCACACACACUGAAUUACAGAAGGUCUAUUUUUGAAACAGACACACGCACACAUAACGUCCAAAUGAUUGGAGCUACUUACAGGUGUGAUAGGAUGAUAAAUCCACUCGUUUCUCUCCUCGCCUUUCUCCUUCCUCUUUCUCUGACUCUACCACUGGCAAGCCGCUAAACAGCGAUUCAAACCGGCAGAUAAGAAAAUCACAGCCUGUCAUACGACUUGAGAUCCACUCACAAUGUACUCCGGCAACACUACCUCUCUCUCUCUCUGCUUUUGUGUGUGCAUGUACCUAAGCCUUAUUCUCCCUCUCUCUCCCAUCCUCUGACCUCCUCCCGGUCUCCAUCUUUCUCAUCUUUCUUUAUCUCUCUUCUCACCCCCCCUCUCUCCCUCUCUCCCACCCACCCACCCACCCACCCACCCACAGGCCAGUCAGCAGCAGUAAGCUCCUCUCUACUUUUGCAAUGUUAGAGGAGUACAAAAAGCUGAGGAAAGAUGGAGCGAGGUGUGUUCUCUAAAGAUAGUGAUAUACGGCGCAUUUGAUGAUAAAGACAUCUGACAGCAGAGCUUACAUCCGGAGGCUGUUGCCCACAGAGAGCCUUGAAAUCAAAUGUGUGGUGUUUGUGUGGACGUGAAAGAUAGAAAGAGAGAGACCAGACACAUGGAAAGACAAUUAGAAAGGGUUAGAUGGAUAGAGAACCAACAGUAUGUCAUCCCCUGACGUUUGAGAGUGCCAGAACAGAAAGGCGUUGUGCAUCAAACUGCCAAAUCCGGUCAGAAUCUAAUCAUUUGUUGCAGACUGAUAGAUGGUUUUGGUAAAAAAAAAAAAGUUACCUAAAGUUUAUUGGAAAAGUUAUAAUAAACUACAAGUGUUUGUGGUUUGUGGAGACCUGUUAUAAUAUAAUCAACAAUCUUUCAUCAAAACUGACAAAUGCAAAAUGUUUCAGCGCUUUAUCAGACUCCUGAAUACAUGCGACAGGACAAAGGCUUAAUAGAUAGUUUUACAUUUAUUCCAAGUCUGUCUGCACAUACGUUUACUGGCCAAUAAAAUAAUAUCUUCUAACAGCUUUGAACUUAAAAAAAGUAGUUUUGUGCUUUUUUCUCUCUCUCCUCUCUCCUUUUAUUGCUUUCGGCAGCUGUUUCUGGCUCCGGAGCUGUGGGGUCUGGAUCUGUCGUUGCAAGCUUCCUGCCAAGUUCCUGCUCUACACAUCCUGCUAGAGUUAUUAUUAUUAGUCUUUAGUCUAUCUUUAUUAGUACUAUUAGUACUAAUAUUCAUUUUCUGUCUGUACCACACUACCACCUUUAAUAUUUUUGUUUCUGUGUGUGGAUAUUGUGUUGCAGAACCUGCAGCAAAAAUAUGAGCAAUUUAAGGAUGACAUGACAAACCAAAAUAACUGAUAAUGUAUUGAUGCUAAUUGUCACAGUAUACACUUCUGGAUUAUUCCUAUUCUUAUUACUUCCUCUCCAUUACAUUGACAAACCAAGCUGAUUUUGGAGUCAGUGAAGGCACUAAGCUCAUCCAAUAUUCCUACUAAUCCUCAGCUUGGUGACAUCAUAGUUUGUUAGCUAAAUCAUAGUUAUCUACAAAUCUACUCGCCAACAAAGCUAUAAAAACUUUCUGCUUUGAACUUACCUUAAAGAAAGUUGGCUAUGACAUGAAGAUGACCAUGUGAUUGGCUGUCUGCCUCAACAUUAACUCCAUAACUAGGAUAGGAGGUUGUGGGUCAACAUGCACAACUAUGUUUUCAACAUGUGUUUCCAACCAGUGGUUUCUGUGCUUUAAACACAAAGACUGAUCUGCUUUGAGGACAUGAAGGCUGCAGGGCUGACACAGCUGCAUUCACCUGUCAACAGUCAUCUCUCGCCACGUUUUAUCACGCAGAGCAGGCACACAGUGGGAGAGACAGACACAGAGAGAUGUGUGUCAAAGGCCACAACCAGAGGUGGCGUUUAACACUCUGCUGUUAGCGUUACUACACAGAGCUGUCAGUCAAACUGCACAGCAAACGACAACAUCGGCCUAGAGGGGAGGAGACAGAUCAGACAGUACGCUGUCGUAUACAGCAAAUAUACACCAACACCGACAAAGUCUGUGUCCAUCACUGUCUGUCUUUUCAUCUGAGAUUUGUCUCAGUUAAGAACAGUGGAUGACAUUCAAAACUGUUCAUAUUCUUGAGAUGCAAGUAUUUUUUUCAAAAUAUCAAUAUUAACCACAAUAACAUAUUGUUAAUCUGACAAUGUCAACAUAAACUGAACUUUUCCAAAACAGCAAUAUUAUUACAGUUACUAAUCCAAGUAACGCUGCUUUACUAAACACAUCGUCAUUGACGUAGAUGCGCGACUGUGCUGCAGGUCAGCGGCACCGGAUCUUAAGUUGUUCAAGUCAGCUGUUAGCCAAAAAGCUAAAGAAAGAAUGGAGAAUCAGGAAGAGAGGCGUUCUUUCCACAGCUGGACUGCCAUUAUUGUGUCACAGUCUAAGACGCACAGAACAUUGUGAUUUCAAUUCUAGAUUUAUUUAUUUAUUGAAGCAGCACAGCAUAGUGAAACUUACACAAAGAAACUCCGGCAGCUGCUGCCAGUGAUGCUUGGACGCGUCAGGAGAAAGAGGCAUUUAGCAACGGAACGUUUUGUAAAAUUACUGAAUACUGCUUUUCUAAAUACAUGUGCAGAAAAAAUGUAGUUCAAAAGUCAGGAUUUACCUGCUUUAAUGUUUUAUUUCCGCCGGUGGUGUAAAGAAGCGUUUUGUGUUUUGUAAAAACCACACUCCUUUAUGCUGUUAUAAUUAUUAGUUAAGAAGUCGUGCGACACUGUAAAGUAGCCUAAUAUUAUUACUUUUUUAAGGAGCAAUAAGGAACUAGUAACUUUAUUCACUUUCUGAGUAACUUGCCUAACACUGCCUAAAUGUUGUGGCCGAUUUGUUGUCUAAAAUGGCCAGGGGUGGUAUUUGCUGUUGCAAAUGAACCUUUUUGACAGCAGACAUGUCAUAUAAGGGAAAGCACAGGUAUAUUUAAUAAUAUCACUGAUGGCUGCAUUCCACUUAUGAAGGUCUGGGUUUUGUGCGUGCUGGCUGACUGGAGUAGCAUAAUGGGACAUGUAAUGGAGCUCAGGCAUUGUUAUUAAUUCCACCUGUGUUUUUCUUGAUAUGACGACUGGAAAUGUCUGCUGUCAAAAAGGUCUAUUAGUAGUAUAUAAAUCUCAUUUCUGGGAGAAGGAGUUAAUAAUGCUGGCUGAUCAGCAGACCUCCACUGUGAUUACAGAGGAGGCAUGUUACAUCCCUACCUAUAAGCCCUCACUACAAAGAAUCUCUAAGGAAUUAUUCACAUCAUUUUUGUCCAAUUACCGUUUCAGAGAUGCACGCACAAACCAGCGGAAAGACAGAGGCAUUUUGAAGUUCCUACGAUCUUCCGCUACAUGACACACUACAAAGCUUUAUCCUUACACAACCCUGCCGACCACCACACACCAAUUAUCUCCAGACAUUACAGUCUGGAACUGAAGCAGUCAAAGGAAGAAACUCCAUUAAACCACAGUGACAAGCAAUCAACUGAGAGCAUAUUUCAUGUUUUUCAAUCAUCAAUAUUUAAGUGUGCGUUUAAGUUGAGCUGUUUUUAUUAUUAUUAUUAUUAUUAUUUCGGAUGCUACAUGGCAAAGAGCAUAGCAAAGCAUCUACAGCUUUUUUCUUUUGAUUGAUUUUCGCUCAUGUUUUUUUAUGGAAACUUUGAAGUACUGAGAGAUUCAGUAUCUUUUUUUGUGUCAGCCAUUUCCUCCUCUUGAUUUGUACAGCCACCAGAAUUAAACUUGAAUUUGCUCUCUCUGUCUGUCUGUAUCCAAUUUAAUUUAAAUAUUGUUUAAAGAUUCCAAGAGGAAUUUCAGUUCAGCGUUAGUCUUUCACCUUGACUGUUUUUAUUUAUAUUUGCCUUUCUAACUCAGCUCAGGUCUCCUCUGUCACUGUCUAUAAUUCUCUCUACUGCAUCAUCUCCCACCCGUCUUUCUAAUUUAUCUGGUGAUGGCGAAGUGGAUAAUCGGGCACGUCCACCAAUGUGUCCCUGAGCAAGACAUUUAACCCCUCGUUGCUCCAGAGGCGUGCGACCUCUGACAUACUUAGUAAUUGUAAGUCGCUUUGGAUAAAAGCGUCAGCUAAAUGAAUAAAUGUAAAUGCAGUACUCUCUCUUUCACCAUCUGUCUCCUGCUGUAGUGGUUUUAUUGAGAUUAUAGGAUUAUUUAGGUUUAUGGGUUUACUUGUUUGGCUUACUUUACUGUAAGAAGUUGCGCUGCUCAUCACAAUGCAUAUUCAUUUUUUGUAAACAUCACAAUGUGAUCGAUCUCCACAGGUUUCAUUACAUGCCAUUAUGUCAUCAAAGUAUAUAUUCAUGUAAAGAGAGAGGACAAUGUAACAAUGAUUUGUAUCAUGCCCUGCUGCAUUUCUAAAAAUGUUAUACUAAGUG